UACGUAGGUGGCAAGCGUUGUCCGGAUUUACUGGGCGUAAAGGGCGUGCAGGCGGUCUGUUAAGUGCAGGGUGAAAGCUUCCGGCUCAACUGGGAGAGGUCCUUGCAUACUGGCGGACUUGAGGGGGGUAGAGGAAAGUGGAAUUCCCGGUGUAGUGGUGAUAUGCGUAGAUAUCGGGAGGAACACCUGUGGCGAAGGCGGCUUUCUGGGCCCUACCUGACGCUGAGACGCGAAAGCGUGGGGAGCGAACCGG
rnacentral:rRNA from 1 species